UGUCGUAGUUUAACGAUUGCGAAUAAGUUUAGAUAACAUUCAAUAGUUGAAUAUUGGUAAAUUCAUGGAAAUUCGAUUUAUCAUGACCACAAAAUUGGUUUUUGAUUCUAAAAUUAUUCGUUUCUCGGAAAAAAUGAUACGUAUGCAUGUAUUUAUUCGUAAAUUUACGAACUGAGCGCUCUUUGUUGGUACCGCGUGUGACUCUGUGAUACCGUAAGCUAAGAUAGAAUUAUUUUGCAACGAUUUAAAAAAAUCCAAAAUUAGAAUAGCUACUUCAUAGGGCAUUGCAGUGUCCGAGCUUGACAUAUUUAUGAUACGAAUGGCCGGAGUGGCACUGUCCAAAGAUAUUCGAUAUUUAUUGAGUCGUAUUUGUGGGGAUAACAAAAUUUUUCUCAACAUUUAGCUAUAAAGCAUGUUUCUAAAAAUUAUAAAGUUCAAAAUUAUCCGUGCUUGAACCGUUGAUUUUGUCUUUUUCGAAAUCGUUGCCAGAAUUUGGCGUAAGCAGUUAUAUAAACCAGCUAUUCUGAUGUACCUAUAAUAAAGAUAAAUCUCGCGGUAAAUUUCGAAGAAUUUUGAUACACGGAUUACCUGCAACUCGUUUUCAAACGAAUUGAAAAUUUCGCAUUGUAUCAAAGAAUCUUCAAUAGUUACCGCUUACCGUAAGACUGCUUAAAAAUUACCGAUGGAGUGUUAUAUGACGUAUGGUGCUGGGCUAAGUCCGGUCAGCAAAUUUUGUUUUGAAAUUGUUUUCUUACGCGAAUACAUUUCUAACAAAAUUUGCUACGAAUUUCUUAGCCCAUUGAAUUGAACUGAUCAUGCGGUGUUACUAGAGUUAAGAAUUUGUCGAGAUAUGAUCUAUAUAUUUAUUCUUCAGAAACGAUUCUUUAUUUUCUGUUUUUUGUUCAUUUCGUUCUCUAUUCUAUAUAUAUAUCCUUACAAUGGGACAUUUUGAGCUGAUUUUAAACACACGGUUGAGGGGGAAAACGUUUUUCGAGGCAGCAGCUUUCAGAUCAUCCGUACGAUCUUUAACGAUCGAUUCAAAUCUUCUAUAAACUGACUCAUUUCAAAUACUGCCGAAUUUACUACAUGCAUGAUAAAUUGAUUUUUCUUUACGUCUUUCUAAAUGUACUGCCAUUCAAUUAUUUACAUUCACACUAAUGUGUGUGUUUUUUUCGCGCACCCUCGUUCCCAUCAGCAGGUAAACGACGUUUCCUCCUCGACCGUAACGGACUAUUAUCACUGCCAAAAUCCCACGAAACUGCGUCAAAGAUUUGAAAAAAAAGCUCUCCUAAAAGUGGGAAUAAAAUUUUCAAAUUUUCACGGCCUCUACUUGAUAGGUAUUUAUUUUUUGACAUAGACUCUAACUUUAGUAAUUGAUAGGCUUGUGUACUUCUCACUUAUUAACGAUGCCCAUAUACCACAGCUCAACGUGAGUAGUAAAUCGUAGUGAUAGUAAAGAUAAAUUUAAAAUUAAUUGAAUCGAUUCGGAGUAAAAAAUUCUAAAAACUUUCACGUAGAAAAUAUCAAUCUAGAUUAAAACAACACAGCUGGACCAAGGGCUGUUUAAACGUGGCUCGGGUAAUGUGAGAUUGUACAAGCAUACAUUCCAGACAUAUUGUAUAGCUAUAUUGUAUACAUGUCGAUAUAAAAAUAACCCGUUAGCGUUUGAUAAGAAAUUCGCAGAAAACAGUAGAGCGUCGUUUAGGGAAA